AUGAACGCUAGCGGCAGGCUUAAUACAUGCAAGUUGAGGGGCAGCAUGAUAUACGCGAGUAUAUUGAUGGCGACCGGCGGACGGGUGAGUAAUAGGUAGGAGACCUACCUCAUACAGGGGGAUAGCAUAGAGAAAUCUGUGGUAAUACCCCAUGAGGUUAUAUGAAUAGAGGCAUAUAAUCAAAGCAUAAGCGAUUAUGCGGUAUGAGAGGGGCCUACUGACCAUUAGCUAGUUGGUGAGGUAAGGGCUCACCAAGGCGAAGAUGGUUAGGGGUUUUGAGAGAGAGACCCCCCACAUUGGAACUGAGAGACGGUCCAGACUCCUACGGGAGGCAGCAGUAGGGAAUAUUGGGCAAUGGGCGAAAGCCUGACCCAGCCAUGCCGCGUGAAGGAAGACGGCCUUAUAGGUUGUAAACUUCUUUACUACGCGAAUAGAGGUUAGUACGAGAUACUAAUAGGAAGGUAGUGUAGUAAAAAGCACCGGCUAACUCCGUG
rnacentral:rRNA from 1 species